GAAAGCUAGAGGACUUGGACCUCAGUUCUUAGAGGACUUAGCGUCUACUAUAGUCUCAUUGGAAAAAGCCAAGCCUCUCAGGUUUCUAAAUCCUUGAAAGUUCUCUGUCAUUAUUAAAAUUUCAGGAAGGUGUCCACAGAGCAAUAAAAUACCAUUGGGAUGCUCAAGUUGUUCAAAGACAGCCCUGGAAGCCACCAACUUUGGAGGAGAUGCAGACAUCAUUAGAGAUGAAUUCUGGUCUGAGAAUCAACCUCAUUAUUCUAAGAUUGGGAAGACGGAGGCUCUCUGAGGUGAAUUGAACUGAUGAAAGCUGGGGCUGCACUCAGACCUUCUGGCUUCUUGUCUGGGUCCAUCCUUGAGGAGCACUACCCUGCCUCUCCUAUGUCUCCACUUCCUUUGAUGCCUUCUCUUCCUCAUCAGGAACGGGCAUUCCCCAAUAUUCCAUCUUUGACCCUCCUUCAUCCUCUAUAAAAUCCAAGCCUUAUCCUUUCUUAUAACUUUAGCUACCACCACUUCUAGGCCCAAAUCUUUAUUACCAGUUCUUCCAAGUUCCAAACUCACUUUGUUUAACCUCACGCUGAAUGUUUCCAACUGUGCAUGUAUCACCGUUUCUUCAAACACAACGUGACUAAAGCAGAA
rnacentral:lncRNA from 1 species